UACGAAGGUCCCAAGCGUUGUUCGGAAUCACUGGGCGUAAAGGGAGCGUAGGCGGCGUGGUAAGUCAGAUGUGAAAUCCCCGGGCUCAACCCGGGAACUGCGUCCGAUACUGGAAGGCUUGAAUCCGGGAGAGGGAUGCGGAAUUCCAGGUGUAGCGGUGAAAUGCGCAGAUAUCAGGAGGAACACCGGUGGCGAAGGCGGAUCUCUGGGCCGUAACUGACGCUGAGGAGCGAAAGCGUGGGGAGCGAACAGG
rnacentral:rRNA from 1 species